AUGGAAUUGAGCCCGUGCGAGAAGUUUCUGCUCUCCGAUUCGUCCGAUUCGGACAACUCGGAUGUUGAGAUGAUGCUCUCAAACUUUCGGGAACGAGAUGUUGAUGCAAGACUAUUUCACGGAGAAUCCAACGUAUCCACCGCACCCCUGAGAAGGUGCCGAAUGCACCGAUCCCUCUUUGUGAAAAUUGUUCAAGCUUGCGAGGCAAAUUGUCGGUAUUUUACUCAACGAAGAAAUAUUGCGGGCUUGAAGGGAUUUAGUGCAUAUCAAAAAAUCUCGGCAGCUAUGCGGGUGAUUGCAUAUGGCGUUCCGGCUGAUUAUGCCAAUGAGUAUCUUCGCGUUGGUGAAGAUGCAACAAUUGAGUCAGUGCGUAGACUUGCCAAAGUGAUCAUCCGUGUCUUUGGUCUCGAAUAUCUUCGGGCACCGAACGAAGAUGAUACAAAGAGAUUGAUGGCAUCUAAUGAGAGGAGAGGUUGGCCUGGCAUGCUAGGUAGCAUUGAUUGUAUGCAUUGGACAUGGAAAAAUUGCUCGAAGGCAUGGCAGGGAAUGUAUUGUGGCAAGUCUCGUGAUGCAACAAUUGUGUUAGAGGUUGUAGCAUCCGAGGAUUUAUGGAUUUGGCAUUGCUUCUUUGGUAUGCCGCACACUCUCAAUGAUAUCAAUGUGUUGCAACAGUCUCAUUUGUUUGCUAGGCUUGCUAGUGGUGAUGCUCCUGCUUGCAACUACACUAUCAAUGGGCAUGAAUACACAAAAGGGUACUAUCUUGCAGAUGAUAUAUACCCUCCUUGGUGCACAUUUGUCAAGAGCAUCAAAGAACCCAAAACUAAAAAAAAUGUAAAAAAUGUGAGUUCGCGAAGGUGCAAGAGGCAGCCCGAAAAGACAUUGAAAGAGCAUUCGGGGUUUUGCAAUCUAGGUUUGCCAUUGUUCGUGGUCCUGCUCAUUUUUGGGACAAGCGGACCUUGA
rnacentral:rRNA from 1 species